rnacentral:misc_RNA from 1 species
AACGCAACUUGCGCCCUCUGGUAUUCCGGAGGGCAUGCCUGUUUGAGUGUCAUGAAAACCUCAAUCCCUCGGGUUUCUCGGAACCGCGAGGUGUAUUGGAUUUGGGUGUCUGCCGUGGCUCGUCCGCGGCUCACCUCAAAGGGCUUAGUGGGACCUUUCGGACCUCACAGUGUCUGGCGUAAUAAGUUUCGCUGGACCCGAGGAUUGAUCGGCGUCUGCUCAUAACCAACCAUAUUUCAUCGAUCUGACCUCAAAUCAGGUAGGGCUACCCGCUGAACUUAA